GACGAACGCUGGCGGCGUGCUUAACACAUGCAAGUCGAACGGAAAGGCCCUGCUUUUGUGGGGUGCUCGAGUGGCGAACGGGUGGGUAACACGUGAGUAACCUGCCCUUGACUUUGGGAUAACUUCAGGAAACUGGGGCUAAUACCGGAUAGGAGCUCCUGCUGCAUGGUGGGGGUUGGAAAGUUUCGGCGGUUGGGGAUGGACUCGCGGCUUAUCAGCUUGUUGGUGGGGUAGUGGCUUACCAAGGCUUUGACGGGUAGCCGGCCUGAGAGGGUGACCGGCCACAUUGGGACUGAGGUACGGCCCAGACUCCUACGGGAGGCAGCAGUGGGGAAUAUUGCACAAUGGGCGGAAGCCUGAUGCAGCAACGCCGCGUGCGGGAUGACGGCCUUCGGGUUGUAAACCGCUUUCGCCUGUGACGAAGCGUGAGUGACGGUAAUGGGUAAAGAAGCACCGGCUAACUACGUG
rnacentral:rRNA from 1 species